rnacentral:rRNA from 1 species
CAGCCGCCGCGGUAAUACGUAGGGUGCGAGCGUUAAUCGGAAUUACUGGGCGUAAAGCGUGCGCAGGCGGUUAUAUAAGACAGAUGCGAAAUCCCCGGGCUCAACCUGGGACCUGCAUUUGUGACUGGCGAGCUAGAGUAUGGCAGAGGGGGGUAGAAUUCCACAUGUAGCAGUGAAAUGCGUAGAGAUGUGGAGGAAUACCGAUGGCGAAGGCAGCCCCCUGGGCCAAUACUGACGCUCAUGCACGAAAGCGUGGGGAGCAAACAGGAUUAGAUACCCGAGUAGUCCCUGUCUCUUAUAC